AGGGCUCUCGGAGUCUCCCCUCGCUUCUUUCGCUUCCCCGGGCUCCCCGAGCCCCCUCAGCGGGCUGCCCUAGGCGGGUUGGGGCCGUCCUCCAUCGGGUUCCUGCCGCCUCACGCCGCCCGCCUCAGCCGCGCAGCUUCCGGCGCCUCCCCGCCGCCAUGUCGGGAGCCUGCGCGCUGCGGGCUGGGGGGGCGAGGGGGGCUGAGGCGUCUCCUCCUCCUCCUUCUUUCUCCUCCUCCUCCUCUUUUCCCUCGGUGGCGAAGGGCUCAGCUCGCUGAGGUGGCCGAGAGAGGGCUUCUCCUGGCCGGCCGUGGAGUUUGUUUUCUUCAGACCACCUCUACAUUUCCCACAAUGGCAAUACAUUCAUUCUGCCAUUUGGAGGAGCCUGUGCCACAGAAUAAUGAUGUGAAGAAAUCGAACUUCUUUGCAAGGAAGAGUCUUCAGUUGUGA
rnacentral:lncRNA from 1 species